rnacentral:rRNA from 1 species
GACAGAGGGUGCAAACGUUGCUCGGAAUUACUGGGCGUAAAGCGCGUGUAGGCGGGUCGGUAUGUCGGACGUGAAAUCCCUAGGCUCAACCUAAGAACUGCGCUCGAAACUGCCGGUCUUGAGUGGUGGAGAGGGAAGUGGAAUUCCUGGUGUAGAGGUGAAAUUCGUAGAUAUCAGGAGGAACACCAGUGGCGAAGGCGGCUUCCUGGACACCAACUGACGCUGAGACGCGAAAGCGUGGGGAGCAAACAGG